CCAAAGGCUGUCUUUACAGCCACAAGGACUGAAAAAUAACCUGUUG
rfam:Nipponia nippon contig49932, whole genome shotgun sequence.